rnacentral:rRNA from 1 species
UGGGGAAUAUUGGACAAUGGGCGAAAGCCUGAUCCAGCCAUGCCGCGUGUGUGAAGAAGGUCUUCGGAUUGUAAAGCACUUUAAGUUGGGAGGAAGGGCGUUAACCUAAUACGUUAGUGUCUUGACGUUACCGACAGAAUAAGCACCGGCUAACUCUGUGCCAGCAGCCGCGGUAAUACAGAGGGUGCAAGCGUUAAUCUGAAUUACUGGGCGUAAUUCGCGCGUAGGUGGUUUGUUAAGUUGAAUGUGAAAUCCCCGGGCACAACCUGGGAACUGCAUCCAAAACAGGCAAGCUAGAGUAUGGUAGAGAGUAGUAGAAUUUCCUGUGUAGCGGAGAAAUACGUAGAUAUAGGAAGGAACACCAGAGACGAAGGCGACUACCUGGGCAGAUACUGACAAUGAGGUGCGAAAGCGUGAGGAGCAAACA